GACGAACGCUGGCGGCGUGCCUAAUACAUGCAAGUAGAACGCUGAAGAGAGGAGCUUGCUCUUCUUGGAUGAGUUGCGAACGGGUGAGUAACGCGUAGGUAACCUGCCUUGUAGCGGGGGAUAACUAUUGGAAACGAUAGCUAAUACCGCAUAACAAUGGAUGACACAUGUCAUUUAUUUGAAAGGGGCAAUUGCUCCACUACAAGAUGGACCUGCGUUGUAUUAGCUAGUAGGUGAGGUAACGGCUCACCUAGGCGACGAUACAUAGCCGACCUGAGAGGGUGAUCGGCCACACUGGGACUGAGACACGGCCCAGACUCCUACGGGAGGCAGCAGUAGGGAAUCUUCGGCAAUGGGGGCAACCCUGACCGAGCAACGCCGCGUGAGUGAAGAAGGGUUUCGGAUCGUAAAGCUCUGUUGUAAGUCAAGAACGAGUGUGAGAGUGGAAAGUUCACACUGUGACGGUAGCUUACCAGAAAGUGACGGCUAACUACGUG
rnacentral:rRNA from 1 species